UACGGAGGGUGCAAGCGUUAUCCGGAUUUACUGGGCUUAAAGGGUGCGUAGGCGGCGCGGUAAGUCGGGUGUGAAAUCUCGGGGCUUAACUCCGAAACUGCAUUCGAUACUGCCGUGCUUGAGGACUGGAGAGGAGACUGGAAUUUACGGUGUAGCGGUGAAAUGCGUAGAUAUCGUAAGGAAGACCAGUGGCGAAGGCGGGUCUCUGGACAGUUCCUGACGCUGAGGCACGAAGGCCUGGGGAGCAAACGGG
rnacentral:rRNA from 1 species